GACAUAGGUGGCGAACGUUAUCCGGAUUUAUUGGGCGUAAAGGGCGCGUAGGUGGUUCUGUAUGUCUACCGUGAAAGCGUACGGCUCAACCGUAUUUUGUCGGUGGAAACUGCAGGACUUGAGGCUGGGAGGGGCUGGUGGAAUUCCCUGUGUAGCGGUGAAAUGCGUAGAGAUGGGGGAGAACACUCGUGGCGAAGGCGGCCAGCUAGACCAGUUCUGACACUGAGGCGCGACAGCGUGGGGAGCAAACAGG
rnacentral:rRNA from 1 species